rnacentral:tRNA from 1 species
AGGCGCGUAGCUCAGAGGCAGAGCAUUGCUUUGACGUAGCAAGGGUCAGCGGUUCAAAUCCGCUCGCGCCUA